rnacentral:rRNA from 1 species
CGAUGCACAAAGUACGGCGAGUGAGCGGUAAAAGCUCAAAUUUGAAAUCUGGUACUUUCAGUGCCCGAGUUGUAAUUUGUAGAAUUUGUCUUUGAUUAGGUCCUUGUCUAUGUUCCUUGGAACAGGACGUCAUAGAGGGUGAGAAUCCCGUUUGGCGAGGAUACCUUUUCUCUGUAAGACUUUUUCGAAGAGUCGAGUUGUUUGGGAAUGCAGCUCAAAGUGGGUGGUAAAUUCCAUCUAAAGCUAAAUAUUGGCGAGAGACCGAUAGCGAACAAGUACAGUGAUGGAAAGAUGAAAAGAACUUUGAAAAGAGAGUGAAAAAGUACGUGAAAUUGUUGAAAGGGAAGGGCAUUUGAUCAGACAUGGUGUUUUUUGCAUGCACUCGCCUCUCGUGGGCUUGGGCCUCUCAAAAAUUUCACUGGGCCAACAUCAAUUCUGGCAGCAGGAUAAAUCAUUAAGAAUGUAGCUACUUCGGUAGUGUUAUAGCUUUUUGGAAUACUGUUAGCCGGGAUUGAGGACUGCGCUUCGGCAAGGAUGUUGGCAUAAUGGUUAAAUGCCGCCCGUCUUGAAACACGGACCC